CCAAAUUCACACAUUCCUCUUCUUCCCAAAAAUUUUAGAUUUCCCUCUCAUAUUCACAAACAAUUGGAAAUUUAUCUCUCAUAAUCGAUCGUAUCCUCCGCUCAAUCCUCACUGCAGCCCUCGACAGUCCAUCUCCAGAUCUCGUGUAGUUAAAAGAUAAGUUUUCUCAUAUGCCUAAUUUCUGUUGUUUAUAAAAAAACCGACUAGGAAUGGAGUUGCUAGUAUUGAAAUCCUAAACUGGACAUGACUAGACGGGUUGUGAUCGCGGGUUCAACCCGAACCCGAUAAUCGUAUCAUACAUAUGAACCCGAACACGACCCGAAGUUUCGUGGGUAACCCGAACACGACCUGUUAAACCCUAAAUCUUUUAAUUUUUGUCUGAAAUUAAUAUAUUAAAAUUAGAAUUUACUUAAAAACACAAAUGCUCGAAAAUCGAAAUGCCCAAUUAACUUCAAUAUGCCUUCAGCAACAUAUCUUGAAAAAAAUCAGUCCUGGUAUGAAUUUUUUUUUUCUUAAAAUCUAAUGGAAUCACCAAAAAACAUCAUGGCUCAAAAAGGAACACCCAAAGCUCAUCCGACUGCACUAAGAUCUUGAGUUACAACAAUUCUUUGUUCUAUACACAUUACAAAGUAGUUUGAUUAAACAAAUUGUUUGUUUGUUUGUUUACUAAGAUUUGAUUGGAAACUUAUUCCUUAGUAGUUAUAAAUUAAUCAAAUGCUACAUAAGUUCCUUACUUAAGAACUUCUUAGUGAUUUGGUGGUCUAUCAGUAACUUGCUAAAGCUACUUAUUGGACGUUUAAAUGUCAAAUAGAAACCAAAUGUAUGAAUUAGGUUUAUAACAAUAAAAGUUUGGAACGGGCCCCAAAUUUUAACUUUAUUUUGGGGCUCCAAAAUGGUUUCUAGGAAAUCGAUCUGAAGAACUAUGUAGUUAUACUAUUAAAUGUUCGUUGCCAUUGCUGCUGAAUUUUUGAUUGACUAUAACAUUCUGUGCGUUUUAUAAUAGAACACAAAUUAAGAGCUAAAGUAAGUGAAUUUGGUGAAGUUGCAUUUGCUCAUUGUAGCACUAGGAAGCUUUCUCAGGCUUGUAAAUCUCAAGGUGGCUUUUUUAUUAGUGAACAGGAUAUUAAGGGCCUACCUUAAUUAUAGGUUGAAUAUAGUGAGUUGGUUGAUGCGAUGACAACAAGCAGUAAGUGCAGAGAACUAUGAAGUGGGAAAUAUGAUUGCUUAGAAAGGGUUAACACGACGAUUAUUUUACUCGCAAACAAGAUUGUGUAAGAGAUUCACGAAUGUAAUGAAGUUUUGAGUUUCUGUUCAAACAUUUAUUGAUUAUUUGUUUUGUA